GAAUCAUUGGGCGUAAAGCGCCUGUAGGUUGUUUAAUAAGUCCGUUGUUAAAGACUAGGGCUUAACCCUAGGAAAGCGAUGGAAACUGAUAGACUUGAGUAUGGCAGGGGUAGAGGGAAUUUCUAGUGUAGCGGUGAAAUGCGUAGAUAUUAGAAAGAACACCGGUGGCGAAAGCGCUCUACUGGACCAUUACUGACACUGAGAGGCGAAAGCUAGGGGAGCGAAAGGGAUUAGAUACCCCUGUAGUCCUAGCCGUAAACGAUGGAUACUAGAUGUUGUGCAAUUUGGACAGUAUCGUAGCUAACGCGUUAAGUAUCCCGCCUGGGGAGUACGCUCGCAAGGGUGAAACUCAAAGGAAUUGACGGGGGCCCGCACAAGCGGUGGAGCAUGUGGUUUAAUUCGAUGCAACGCGAAGAACCUUACCAGGGCUUGACAUACUACAGAUCUUUUUGAGAAAGAAGAGUGCCUUCGGGAAUGUAGAUACAGGUGGUGCAUGGCUGUCGUCAGCUCGUGUCGUGAGAUGUUGGGUUAAGUCCCGCAACGAGCGCAACCCUCGUUUUUAGUUGCCAAUUUAUUGGGAUCUCUAGAAAGACUGCCGGUGACAAACCGGAGGAAGGUGAGGAUGACGUCAAGUCAGCAUGCCCCUUAUGUCCUGGGCCACACACGUGCUACAAUGGUAAAGACAAAGAGUCGCCAAUUCGCGAGAAUGAGCUAAUCUCAUAAACUUUAUCUAAGUUCGGAUUGUAGGCUGCAA
rnacentral:rRNA from 1 species